GAUGAACGCUGGCGGCGUGCUUAACACAUGCAAGUCGAGCGAAGCGCUUAAGAAUGAUUCUUCGGAUGAAUUCUUUUGCGACUGAGCGGCGGACGGGUGAGUAACGCGUGGAUAACCUGCCUCAUACAGGGGGAUAACAGUUAGAAAUGACUGCUAAUACCGCAUAAGCGCACAGUGCCGCAUGGCACCGUGUGAAAAACUCCGGUGGUAUGGGAUGGAUCCGCGUUGGAUUAGGCAGUUGGCGGGGUAACGGCCCACCAAACCGACGAUCCAUAGCCGGCCUGAGAGGGUGGACGGCCACAUUGGGACUGAGACACGGCCCAAACUCCUACGGGAGGCAGCAGUGGGGAAUAUUGCACAAUGGGGGAAACCCUGAUGCAGCGACGCCGCGUGAGUGAAGAAGUAAUUCGUUAUGUAAAGCUCUAUCAGCAGGGAAGAAAAUGACAGUACCUGACUAAGAAGCCCCGGCUAACUACGUGCCAGCCGCCGCAGUAAUAC
rnacentral:rRNA from 1 species